ensembl:snoRNA
GUUCCUCUGUAGGUUAUCAGCAGGAUGAUUGUUUUCACUCGGUUGUGUGAAACAUGCCACCUUACUACGACCUUGGCACACUACUCGUCUGAUG